rnacentral:lncRNA from 1 species
UACAAACCAAUCUUUUGUUUUUUUUUGUUCUGAGAGAAAAGAUUCUCUCUAUUUCUGUAUCUCUCCUUGUGGUAAGAAAACAGAGCUAGCCUAGAGAUCAUCUCUCUUAUAAUAUAUAUAUAUAUCUCUCCGCGGUGUUCUUGUCGUAGUUCAAUGUUAAAACGAUCUCGAGUUUCCCAAAAGAACAAGAUGUCUAUUCGAAAAAUCUAUAGAUGUCUCAACUCUUUAAUCAAAAGAUCAUGUGCUCAAUCUUUAUGAUCAUACGUACGCUCCAUUUCACACUUUGUUACAACUCUCAGGUUUUCAAUUUUUCGUCUUUCUUCUCUGUUUCACUUGAGAACGUCCUUUGAGUACUCGAUCGAGAAAGCCAAGUUUCUUUCAAGAAUCAAGAAUACGAAGA